UACGUAGGGGGCAAGCGUUGUCCGGAUUUAUUGGGCGUAAAGAGCGUGUAGGCGGCCUGACAGGUCUGCUGUGAAAACUCGAGGCUCAACCUCGAGAUGUCGGCGGAAACCGUCUGGCUAGAGUCCGGAAGAGGAGAGUGGAAUUCCUGGUGUAGCGGUGAAAUGCGCAGAUAUCAGGAAGAACACCCGUGGCUAAGGCGGCUCUCUAGUACGGUACUGACGCUGAGACGCGAAAGCUAGGGGAGCGAACGGG
rnacentral:rRNA from 1 species